AGUGAACGCUGGCGGCAGGCCUAACACAUGCAAGUCGAACGGCAGCACAGUGGAGCUUGCUCCAUGGGUGGCGAGUGGCGGACGGGUGAGGAAUACAUCGGAAUCUGCCCAGUCGUGGGGGAUAACAUAGGGAAACUUAUGCUAAUACCGCAUACGACCUACGGGUGAAAGCGGGGGAUCGCAAGACCUCGCGCGAUUGGAUGAGCCGAUGUCCGAUUAGCUAGUUGGCGGGGUAAUGGCCCGCCAAGGCGACGAUCGGUAGCUGGUCUGAGAGGAUGAUCAGCCACACUGGAACUGAGACACGGUCCAGACUCCUACGGGAGGCAGCAGUGGGGAAUAUUGGACAAUGGGCGCAAGCCUGAUCCAGCCAUGCCGCGUGGGUGAAGAAGGCCUUCGGGUUGUAAAGCCCUUUUGUCCGGAAAGAAACGCCUCGGAUUAAUACUCUGGGGUAAUGACGGUACCGGAAGAAUAAGCACCGGCUAACUUCGUGCCAGCCGCCGCGGUAACAC
rnacentral:rRNA from 1 species